rnacentral:rRNA from 1 species
UCCGCUUAUUGAUAUGCUUAAGUUCAGCGGGUGCCCUUGCCUGAACUCAGGUCGAAUAAGAUAGACGCCCGGUUCCCAUAACCGGCCGUUCCAUCCGGCCUCCAACAAAGUCCCGGGCCGACAGCGGCAUGCGAUCCCUUGCGGGUCACCUACCAGACUGUUGUCCCGAUUGGGUCCUUGCUCGAGCCUCUGGUCUUCAGCGGACCCGAUCAUAAUGACCGGGACUGCCACGUCCGCCGCCCCAAGUGAUGGGGGGGCGAGAGGGUGAAGCCGACGCUGAGGCAGCCAUACUCUUGGCCGGAGCCUCGAGUGCAAUUUGCGUUCAAAGAUUCGAUGAUUCACAUUAUCUGCAAUUCACACUACGUAUCGCAUUUCGCUGCGUUCUUCAUCGAUACGGGAGCCAAGACAUCCAUUGUUGAGAGUUGUCAUUGGUUGGAGGGGGCCGCACGAGGCGACCGCCGACCGCUUCAGGCUCGGUUAAGUUCUGGUUUUGAUUGGGGUUUUGCCGACCCGGAAAACGUCAUCCGAUCGGGUAUAUCGGAGAGAGGUCUCCCAACCCCGCCAGACCUUCCUGUCCUCGAUAACCGACGCGCCAACUGGGACACGCGCACUGUCGGCCUCUGCAUAGAGCCGCUCAGGGGGGA